GACGAACGCUGGCGGCGUGCUUAACACAUGCAAGUCGAACGGAAAGGCCCUGCUUUUGUGGGGUGCUCGAGUGGCGAACGGGUGAGUAACACGUGAGUAACCUGCCCUUGACUUUGGGAUAACUUCAGGAAACUGGGGCUAAUACCGGAUAGGAGCUCCUGCUGCAUGGUGGGGGUUGGAAAGUUUCGGCGGUCGGGGAUGGACUCGCGGCUUAUCAGCUUGUUGGUGGGGUAGUGGCUUACCAAGGCUUUGACGGGUAGGCGGCCUGAGAGGGUGACCGGCGUCAUUGGGACUGAGAUACGGACCAGAGUCCUACGGGGGACAGCAGUGGGAAAUAUUGCACAGUGAGCGGAAGCCUGAUGCAGCAACGCCGCGUGCGGGAUGACGGCCUUCGGGGUGUAAACCGCUUUAGGCUGUGACGAAGCGUGAGUGACGGUAAUGGGUAAAGAAGCACCGGCUAACUACGUG
rnacentral:rRNA from 1 species